AACUUUCAGCAAUGGAUCUCUUGGCACUCCCAUCGAUGAAGAACGCAGCGAAAUGCGAUAAGUAAUGUGAAUUGCAGAAUUCAGUGAAUCAUCGAAUCUUUGAACGCACCUUGCGCCCUUUGGUAUUCCGAAGGGCAUGCCUGUUUGAGUGUCAUUAAAUUCUCAACCUUGCAAGCUUUUUCUAGCUUGCGAGGCUUGGAUGUGAGGGUUUUUGCUGGCUUCCUUCAGUUGGAUGGUCUGCCACCUUUACAUUCAUCACUCGAAUCCUUUGUUGACAUUCCCAUGGUCAGAUAAGUAUCUGCGCCACCUGUCUCCUAAACAAGACCUUGGUGAUCCGCGUUAUAACCGUCUCUUCGCAGACAAUCUUUGUCAAUUUGACUGCAAACCAGGUAGGACUACCCGCAGAACUGAAGCAUAUGAAUAAGCUAAGGCU
rnacentral:misc_RNA from 1 species